rnacentral:ncRNA from 1 species
ACGGAAGCUUGGAGAGGCCAAGGCCGAGUCGGAAGAGAAGACUCGGACUCCCGAUCCCGGCUCCCCAGCACGGAUCCCGGACACCCACGCGGAGCACAUGCCGCGGAAUAGGCAAAAGUGUUGCGGGCCUGCGUAUUUGCGAAAAGCGGACGACCACGACGGCCCCUUGGGUGGGGUUGCAGUCGAAGCGCAUCGACAAGACGCCGAGGCCACCCACGCAACCCACCUGAGCACGCUUGGUAGCCGGUGUCCGUGCUAGCGGGCGACGAGCCGAACCACGAGUUCGGAACGUCGCCCGCUUCGCAUU